UACAGAGGGUGCGAGCGUUAAUCGGAAUUACUGGGCGUAAAGCGCACGUAGGUGGCGACGUAAGUCGGGUGUGAAAGCCCCGGGCUCAACCUGGGAAUUGCAUUCGAGACUGCAUUGCUGGAGUACGGAAGAGGAGGGCGGAAUUCCUGGUGUAGCGGUGAAAUUCGUAGAUAUUGGGAGGAAUACCAGUGGCGCAAGCGGCGCCCUGGCCGUGACCUGACACUGAGCCACGACGGCGUGGGGAGCAAACGGG
rnacentral:rRNA from 1 species